GAACGUACCCCAAACUGAGGGAUAAGCACCAGAAAUGGUGUCUAAUACCGCAUGUGAUCUCCGGAUUAAAGCUUCGGCGGUUUGGGAACGGCCUGCGUACGAUUAGAUAGUUGGUGAGGUAAUGGCUCACCAAGUCGACGAUCGUUAGCUGGUCUGAGAGGAUGAUCAGCCAGACUGGGACUGAGAACGGCCCAGACUCCUACGGGAGGCAGCAGUAGGGAAUUUUCCACAAUGGGGGCAACCCUGAUGGAGCAACGCCGCGUGCAGGAUGAAUGCCUUCGGGUUGUAAACUGCUUUUAUAUGUGACGAAUAUGACGGUAGCAUAUGAAUAAGGAUCGGCUAACUCCGUGCCAGCAGCCGCGGUCAUACGGAGGAUCCAAGCGUUAUCCGGAAUUACUGGGCGUAAAGAGUUGCGUAGGUGGCAGAGUAUGUCAGUAGUGAAAGCGUGUGGCUCAACCAUAUAUACAUUACUGAAACUGCUCAGCUAGAGGACGAGAGAGGUUAUUGGAAUUCCUAGUGUAGGAGUGAAAUCCGUAGAUAUUAGGAGGAACACCGAUGGCGUAGGCAGAUAACUGGCUCGUUCCUGACACUAAGGCACGAAAGCGUGGGUAGCA
rnacentral:rRNA from 1 species